rnacentral:rRNA from 1 species
GACGAACGCUGGCGGCGUGCUUAACACAUGCAAGUCGAACGGAAAGGCCCUGCUUUUGUGGGGUGCUCGAGUGGCGAACGGGUGAGUAACACGUGAGUAACCUGCCCUUGACUUUGGGAUAACUUCAGGAAACUGGGGCUAAUACCGGAUAGGAGCUCCUGCUGCAUGGUGGGGGUUGGAAAGUUUCGGCGGUUGGGGAUGGACUCGCGGCUUAUCAGCUUGUUGGUGGGGUAGUGGCUUACCAAGGCUUUGACGGGUAGCCGGCCUGAGAGGGUGACCGGCCACAUUGGGACUGAGAUACGACCCAGACUCCUACGGGAGGCAGCAGUGGGGAAUAUUGCACAAUGGGCGGAAGCCUGAUGCAGCAACGCCGCGUGCGGGAUGACGGCCUUCGGGCGGUAAACCGCUUUCGCCUGUGACGAAGCGUGAGUGACGGUAAUGGGUAAAGAAGCACCGGCUAACUACGUG